rnacentral:SRP_RNA from 1 species
GCCGGGUAUGGUGGCGUAUUCCUGUAAUCCCAGCUACUUGGGAGGCUGAGGCAGGAGCAUUGCUUGAACCCGGGAGGCAGAGGUUGCAGUGAGCUGAGACCAUGCCACUGCACUCCUGCCUGGGUGACAGAGUGAGACUCUGUCUCAA